ACGGAGGGUGCAAGCGUUGUCCGGAAUUAUUGGGCGUAAAGAGCUCGUAGGCGGCUUGUCGCGUCUGCUGUGAAAACCCGGAGCUCAACUCCGGGCCUGCAGUGGGCACGGGCAGGCUAGAGUGCGGUAGGGGAGAUUGGAAUUCCUGGUGUAUGGGUCGAAGGCGCAGAUAUGAGGAUGAAGAGCGAUGACGGGGGGGGACCGCUGUUACGCUACUUGGGAUGAUGAGCAAAAACGUGUGGAGCUCAUGG
rnacentral:rRNA from 1 species